UACACACCGCCCGUCGCUACUACCGAUUGAAUGGUUUAGUGAGGCCUUCUGACUGGCGCCGAUACUCUGGCAACAGAGCGCCGGAUGCCGGAAAGUUGGUCAAACUUGAUCAUUUAGAGGAAGUAAAUAGUCGUAACAAGGUUUCCGUAGGUGAACCUGCGGAAGGAUCAUUACCGAUGAUAUUCGUCCAAUCAACUACACAGUUGUACCUUGUGAACCGUACCAAACUAUUCAGGGGUCGGCUUGUCCGUUAAAUGGUCGUCGGACGCGAGAGAUCGCGGCCGCUCGACCGGCCCCGCACGCGUUUUGUUUUUUAUAAACAUAUGUGUACCUGUCUGACACAAUGCAGUUGCGGCCUGGCCCAAGGGUCGGUCGCGGCAAUUAGAGCAAAAAACGAGAUACAACUUUCGACGGUGGAUCUCUUGGCUCAUCGAAUCGAUGAAGAAGAGCAUGUCUGUCUGAGUGUCGGAUAUCAUCCAACGCACGCCAGCGUGCGGAAUUGAGGCGUCACGGUCCGUACUGCACGGACCGUGUCCCUUGAAAGUCAGAGAGACUCGCCGCGUCGCGGGAAGAUUCCCCGUGCACACCAGCGGAGGCUAAAAUGUCUUUUGUCCUUCGCGUGCCGGGAAGUCGCCGUGUGCGGCGGUCGUCGUCGGGCGAACUUUAAUUAUCUUGACCUCAGAUCAGGCAAGGCUACCCGCUGAAUUUAAGCAUAUUAAUAAGCGGAGGAAAAGAAACUAACAAGGAUUCCCUCAGUAACGGCGAGUGAAGCGGGACCAGCUCAAAUUUGAAAUCUCCGAUGCCUGCAUCUGGCAAGUUGUAGUUGCGAGAAGCACUUUCUAGGUGGAUCGGUCGUGCCUAAGUUGCUUGGAACAGCACGUCGCAGAGGGUGACAACCCCG
rnacentral:rRNA from 1 species